rnacentral:rRNA from 1 species
GUACACGCUGUGACUAGCAUAUCAAUAAGCGGAGGAAAAGAAACUAACAAGGAUUCCCCUAGUAACGGCGAGUGAAGCGGGAAGAGCUCAAAUUUGAAAUCUUAAAGGGUUUCCCUUUACGAAUUGUAGUUUAAAGAAGUGUUUUCUGUUGAGGUUUUGGUAAAAGUUCUUUGGAAUAGGACAUCAUAGAGGGUGAGAAUCCCGUAUUUGACCUUUACUUUCAACUUUGUGAUACACUUUCAAAGAGUCGGAUUGUUUGGGAAUGCAGUCCAAAAUGGGUGGUAAAUUUCAUCUAAAGCUAAAUAUUGGCGAGAGACCGAUAGCGAACAAGUACCGCGAGGGAAAGAUGAAAAGAACUUUGAAAAGAGAGUUAAACAGUACGUGAAAUUGUCAAAAGGGAAGCGUUUGACACCAGUGUUGUUUUUCUGAAAAUCAAUUAAAGAACUGUUUAUGCUAAGCUGUUUAGACUUUAUCAGCUAUCUGUUUAGUUUUGAGCUUUUCUUUAAUGCACUUUUCAGUUAACAAGUCAACAUCAAUUUCUUUUGCUGUAAAAAAGCUUGAGGAAGGUGGCUUGAGAUUCGUCUUAAGUGCUUAUAGCCUCUUGCCUAUGCAGUCGGAGAGAUUGAGGUCUGCAGCGUAGAUCCUUCGGGGCUAAAUGCAUUUGUGCUAAGUUAUAGCAUUUUAUAGACAACUUGUUGACUAUGAUUUGUCUUGUAGCUUACUCGCUUAUGUUAUUUUACCUACGCUUAGGAUGUUGACGCGCGUGUGUGCGUG